GACAGGUGCUGCAUGGCUGUCGUCAGCUCGUGUCGUGAGAUGUAGGUUAAGUCCCGCAACGAGCGCAACCCUUGUCUUUAAUUGCCAUCAUUGAGUUGGGCACUUAAGAGACUGCCGGUGUUAAACCGGAGGAAGGUGGGGAUGACGUCAAGUCCUCAUGGCCUUUAUGCCCAGGGCUACACACGUGCUACAAUGGGUGGUACAAAGAGCAGCCAGCUCGCGAGAGUGAGCAAAUCUCAAAAAGCCAUCCUCAGUUCGGAUUGAAGUCUGCAACUCGCCUGCAUGAAGUUGGAGUUGCUAGUAAACGCAGGUCAGCCAUACUGCGUUGAAUACGUUCCCGGGGCUU
rnacentral:rRNA from 1 species